CAUUAACUGAAUCCAUAGGUUAAUGAGGCGAACCGGGGGAACUGAAACAUCUAAGUACCCCGAGGAAAAGAAAUCAACCGAGAUUCCCCCAGUAGCGGCGAGCGAACGGGGAGCAGCCCAGAGCCUGAAUCAGUAUGUGUGUUAGUGGAAGCGUCUGGAAAGGCGCGCGAUACAGGGUGACAGCCCCGUACACAAAAAUGCACAUGCUGUGAGCUCGAUGAGUAGGGCGGGACACGUGGUAUCCUGUCUGAAUAUGGGGGGACCAUCCUCCAAGGCUAAAUACUCCUGACUGACCGAUAGUGAACCAGUACCGUGAGGGAAAGGCGAAAAGAACCCCGGCGAGGGGAGUGAAAAAGAACCUGAAACCGUGUACGUACAAGCAGUGGGAGCACGCUUAGGCGUGUGACUGCGUACCUUUUGUAUAAUGGGUCAGCGACUUAUAUUCUGUAGCAAGGUUAACCGAAUAGGGGAGCCGAAGGGAAACCGAGUCUUAACUGGGCGUUAAGUUGCAGGGUAUAGACCCGAAACCCGGUGAUCUAGCCAUGGGCAGGUUGAAGGUUGGGUAACACUAACUGGAGGACCGAACCGACUAAUGUUGAAAAAUUAGCGGAUGACUUGUGGCUGGGGGUGAAAGGCCAAUCAAACCGGGAGAUAGCUGGUUCUCCCCGAAAGCUAUUUAGGUAGCGCCUCGUGAAUUCAUCUCCGGGGGUAGAGCACUGUUUCGGCAAGGGGGUCAUCCCGACUUACCAACCCGAUGCAAACUGCGAAUACCGGAGAAUGUUAUCACGGGAGACACACGGCGGGUGCUAACGUCCGUCGUGAAGAGGGAAACAACCCAGACCGCCAGCUAAGGUCCCAAAGUCAUGGUUAAGUGGGAAACGAUGUGGGAAGGCCCAGACAGCCAGGAUGUUGGCUUAGAAGCAGCCAUCAUUUAAAGAAAGCGUAAUAGCUCACUGGUCGAGUCGGCCUGCGCGGAAGAUGUAACGGGGCUAAACCAUGCAC
rnacentral:rRNA from 1 species